GACAGAGGGUGCAAACGUUGUUCGGAAUUACUGGGCGUAAAGCGCGUGUAGGCGGUCCACUAAGUCGGGUGUGAAAGCCCUGGGCUCAACCCAGGAAGUGCACUCGAAACUGGCGGGCUAGAGUAUCGGAGAGGUUGGUGGAAUUCUCGGUGUAGAGGUGAAAUUCGUAGAUAUCGAGAGGAACACCGGUGGCGAAGGCGGCCAACUGGACGAAUACUGACGCUGAGGCACGAAAGCGUGGGGAGCAAACAGG
rnacentral:rRNA from 1 species